rnacentral:RNase_P_RNA from 1 species
CGAGCAGACUACGCGGCAGCGGAAACGUUUUAGUUUAUGAGGAAAGUCCGGGCAUCACAGAGCAGGGUAGCUGAUAACGUCAGCCGAGGGCGACCUUAGGGCAAGUGCAACAGAGAUAUACCGCCGCUUUAAUACUUGACUCUGCUGCAAGAUGUCCAAUAGAUUUCGAGAUAAAAUACUGUUUUUCAAGGCGGACGACGCAGGCGUGCUUUCGCACGGCAAGAAGGAGAACGCAGAAAAACGGAAUUUUAGCCGAAAGAUGUGGAUAGCUUGCAGCAGGGUCAAGUAUAGUGGUAAGGGUGGAAAGGCGAGGCAAGAGCUCACCAGUGUGCAGGAGACUGCACAGCUAUGUAAACCCUACCCGAUGCAACGUCUAUUGGUACUGCGUAUCUUAACGUCGGCUCGGCGGAUACGCAGUAAUGACGGCUUGAGCUUAUCGGCGACGAUGAGCGUAGAUAAAUUGCCGCGCACGACAGAACCCGGCUUAUCGGUCUGGUCAAAAA